rnacentral:tRNA from 1 species
UCCCUAGUGUCUCUGAUGGUAAAGAAUCUGCCUGCAAUGCGGGAUACCUGGGUUCAAUUCCUGGGUUGGGAA